GAGCGAACCUUUAAAAGCUUGCUUUUAAAGGUUAGCGGCGGACGGGUGAGUAACACGUGGGCAACCUACCUGUAAGACUGGGAUAACUUCGGGAAACCGGAGCUAAUACCGGAUAAUUCUUUUCUACACAUGUGGAAAAGCUGAAAGACGGUUUCGGCUGUCACUUACAGAUGGGCCCGCGGCGCAUUAGCUAGUUGGUGAGGUAAUGGCUCACCAAGGCAACGAUGCGUAGCCGACCUGAGAGGGUGAUCGGCCACACUGGGACUGAGACACGGCCCAGACUCCUACGGGAGGCAGCAGUAGGGAAUCUUCCGCAAUGGACGAAAGUCUGACGGAGCAACGCCGCGUGAGUGAUGAAGGUUUUCGGAUCGUAAAACUCUGUUGUUAGGGAAGAACAAGUACGAGAGUAACUGCUCGUACCUUGAUGGUACCUAACCAGAAAGCCACGGCUAACUACGUGCCAGCAGCCGCGGUAAUACGUAGGUGGCAAGCGUUGUCCGGAAUUAUUGGGCGUAAAGCGCGCGCAGGUGGUUUCUUAAGUCUGAUGUGAAAGCCCACGGCUCAACCGUGGAGGGUCAUUGGAAACUGGGGAACUUGAGUGCAGGAGAGAAGAGUGGAAUUCCACGUGUAGCGGUGAAAUGCGUAGAGAUGUGGAGGAACACCAGUGGCGAA
rnacentral:rRNA from 1 species